UACGUAGGGGGCAAGCGUUGUUCGGAUUUAUUGGGCGUAAAGGGUGCGUAGGUGGUCGUGUAAGUCGGGUGUGAAAUCCUAGGGCUCAACCCUGGAACUGCAUUCGAUACUGCACGGCUUGAGCGCUGGAAAGGAGACUGGAAUUUACGGUGUAGCAGUGAAAUGCGUAGAUAUCGUAAGGAAGACCAGUGGCGAAAGCGAGUCUCUGGACAGAUGCUGACACUGAGGCACGAAGGCCAGGGGAGCAAACGGG
rnacentral:rRNA from 1 species